ACUUCCGGUGAGAGUGGCGCACGGGUGCGUAACGCGUGAGCAACCUGCCCAUAUCAGGGGGAUAGCCCGGAGAAAUCCGGAUUAACACCGCAUGACACGCCGGGACGGCAUCGUUCCGGCGUCAAAUAUUCAUAGGAUAUGGAUGGGCUCGCGUGACAUUAGCUAGUUGGUGGGGUAACGGCCCACCAAGGCGACGAUGUCUAGGGGCUCUGAGAGGAGAAUCCCCCACACUGGUACUGAGACACGGACCAGACUCCUACGGGAGGCAGCAGUAAGGAAUAUUGGUCAAUGGGGGCAACCCUGAACCAGCCAUGCCGCGUGCAGGACGACUGCCCUAUGGGUUGUAAACUGCUUUUGCCGGGGAAUAAACCCCACUACGUGUAGUGGGCUGAACGUACCCGGAGAAUAAGGAUCGGCUAACUCCGUGCCAGCAGCCGCGGUAAUACGGAGGAUCCGAGCGUUAUCCGGAUUUAUUGGGUUUAAAGGGUGCGUAGGCGGCACUUUAAGUCAGGGGUGAAAGACGGCAGCUCAACUGUCGCAGUGCCCUUGAUACUGAAGUGCUUGAAUGCGGUUGAAGACGGCGGAAUGAGACAAGUAGCGGUGAAAUGCAUAGAUAUGUCUCAGAACACCGAUUGCGAAGGCAGCUGUCUAAGCCGUUAUUGACGCUGAUGCACGAAAGCGUGGGGAUCGAACAGGAUUAGAUACCCUG
rnacentral:rRNA from 1 species